rnacentral:rRNA from 1 species
UACGGAGGGUGCAAGCGUUAUCCGGAUUCACUGGGUUAAAGGGUGCGUAGGUGGGCCUGUAAGUCAGUGGUGAAAUCCCCGAGCUUAACUUGGGAACUGCCGUUGAUACUAUAGAUCUUGAAUAUCGUGGAGGUAAGCGGAAUAUGUCAUGUAGCGGUGAAAUGCUUAGAUAUGACAUAGAACACCAAUUGCGAAGGCAGCUUACUACACGAUCAUUGACACUGAGGCACGAAAGCGUGGGGAGCAAACAGG